AGGUGGGAGACUGUGAAGCGGGCACGCCAGUGUUCGUGGAGUCGUUGUUGAAAUACCACUCUGAUCGUAUUGGACAUCUAACCUCGGACCAUGAUCUGGUUCAGGGACAGUGCCUGGUGGGUAGUUUAACUGGGGCGGUUGCCUCCCAAAAUGUAACGGAGGCGCCCAAAGGUUCCCUCAGCCUGGUUGGCAAUCAGGUGUUGAGUGCAAGUGCACAAGGGAGCUUGACUGUGAGACUGACAGGUCGAGCAGGGACGAAAGUCGGGACUAGUGAUCCGGCACCGGCAUGUGGAAGCGGUGUCGCUCAACGGAUAAAAGGUACCCCGGGGAUAACAGGCUGAUCUUCCCCAAGAGUCCAUAUCGACGGGAUGGUUUGGCACCUCGAUGUCGGCUCGUCGCAUCCUGGGGCUGGAGUAGGUCCCAAGGGUUGGGCUGUUCGCCCAUUAAAGCGGCACGCGAGCUGGGUUUAGAACGUCGUGAGACAGUUCGGUCUCUAUCCGCCGCGCGCGUUAGAAACUUGAGGAAGGCUGUCCCUAGUACGAGAGGACCGGGACGGACGAACCUCUGGUGUGCCAGUUGUCCUGCCAAGGGCACUGCUGGUUAGCUACGUUCGGAAGGGAUAACCGCUGAAAGCAUCUAAGCGGGAAGCCUGUUCCAAGAUGAGGUUUCUCACCCCCUUGAGGGGGUAAGGCCCCCGGCAGACUACCGGGUUGAUAGGCCAGAACUGGAAGUGCAGUAAUGCAUGUAGGUGACUGGUACUAAUAGGCCGAGGACUUACCACA
rfam:Rhodococcus sp. RD6.2 genome assembly, contig: RHCRD62_Contig_1